UACGGAGGGUGCAAGCGUUGUUCGGAAUCACUGGGCGUAAAGGGCGCGCAGGCGGUUUGAUCAGUCAGAUGUGAAAGUCCACGGCUUAACCGUGGAAGUGCAUUUGAAACUGUCAGACUUGAGUACCAGAGGGGAAAGUGGAAUUCCCGGUGUAGAGGUGAAAUUCGUAGAUAUCGGGAGGAAUACCGGUGGCGAAGGCGACUUUCUGGCUGAGUACUGACGCUGAGGCGCGAAAGCGUGGGGAGCAAACAGG
rnacentral:rRNA from 1 species